rnacentral:lncRNA from 1 species
UCUCCUUCGUGUCCAUCUGUCCAUGGAGAUGGAAUCAAUCCCUGUUGAUGUCGUAGGCAAAGUGUAGAUCAGGUUUGUGUCUACAUGGGUUUAAUUGCUGAAGUUAUUAGGGUAAAAUGUACAGGUAGCCCCUGUAGUUUUGCCAUAUUGAGAUUUAACCCCUGAAAACUUCAGUUUUUCCAGCACAGAUUUUUUUUGCAUUUUGCAAUCAUAUCCUUGAUCCCAUAUUGCCUAACUUUCAUCUUGUGACAUCCCGGUCAGGUGAUGGGUAAUUACUUGUUUAAAAAAAUUUUGUUUUAAAAUUUUUAUUUUUUUGUCGUUAAACAAUUUGUUGCAAGCAAUCUAUUAUUUCUUCCUAUACUAUUUCCUAUAGAAACUCUACUUAAGAAAAGUAAAAAAAUAACAAUAAUAUCUAACGUGGUCGAAACUAUUUAAGCAAAAAUUUUAGGACUCGGUAGUAAGCAGAGGUGACUUUUACUCUUAUGUUUUCUAAUGACUUACUGUCAUACAUAUAGGGAGAGAGACAGAGAGUGUGUGUGUGUCUAGCUUAUAUGCUUUCAGAAGUACGGUGAUUUUCAUAUUAUCAAAUUAUUUUCGAAGCUGGGACUUCUGAAUUGACGAUUGUCUCCGUUAAACUUUGAUUUAAAAUAUUAGAAGUAUCUAGAAAAUAAAUUUCGUAAUUUGAAAAUAUCAAGAGCAUUGAAAGUAUCUGAAGGUAGAAAUGAUUGGAAAAAUAGAUGUAAUGGUGGAAAAGUUGGUAAACCAAGCGUUUGGUGCUGCUAGAAGCACCACAAUCGAACUCUAUAGAAUUUGGCUUAGAUUACUUUUAAUAGUAUUUGAGUUUUCUUAUUAUCAAGUUUAUUAUUCUUGGACGAAAAAUUGUAGGGUUGGGAUAAGAGUAGUCCCCUAAUAUCAAAGAGGUAGUCGUCGUUGCUCCUCUGUUCAGCCUCUUUAUCCUGAAGCAGCUCGCCUACAGAUUCACAUAUGAAGCUUCCGGACGGAAUAGAACUCAAGGAUCUGACCCCCCACCCUCUCGACAGGGUCUUGAAUAUUUCUAGCUGUAUUUUGAUACCGUGCUGGCUCACCCUGUUGUGGCACGGCGGCAGACACUUGCAGUUUGGCCUGCACUCAGUAUAUAAGUGGCUUCGCCUGAACAAUAGCGCCGUUGAAAUUAAAUGGAAUUUCCCCUCCAUUUUUCAUCGCACAAGCGCACUUGGCAGAAUCCGAACAGCCGCCAGAACAGUCGCAACCCAUGGGACGAGUGUUGGCAUACCAUGGUGGAUAUAUGAUCUUGGUGAUAUAUUGAAACGGCGGCGGCCGCUCAUCAUCGAUUGUGUUGACCGCACAGGUUGGUAUCUUCUCCUUGCCUUGAGAUAUAUCACGCACACAUAAACCUUUGCGGACUUUCAACCUUUUUGUCUUGUUAACUACAUUUAGGGCAAGUUCGGGUAGCCCUGGCAUUCGUCUCAACUGGAACUUAAAAACAGAAACACCAUGGGGCACUUUCUCACUCCAAUACUUCUCAACAAGGUACAAUCCUGCGUAAGUGAACGUCGAGACCAUCUUAAUCCGCCCAUCGGAGCUAUCGCCCCCUUUAUGCUCCUUAAAGCCAUGUAUAACCCUCACAGGUGUCUGCAUGUCAAUGCUGUUUUUGAGUGCUAGGUUCCCACGCUCGAGCUUCUGGUCUUCCGCUUCUUUCUUACCUGCGGGUUUUCCUCCCGCGCCAGAAUAUAUUAGCACAUCCGAACUGUCGAUGUCAUCAGGGUAGCCGCCAGAAGCAACGAUGCUUGUCGCAAGACGUAGACCGUUUUUGACUACAGAAUCUAUACCUCCUUGAUAAGGGCAGUGAAGUCCAACAAUAGAGAGCUCCACCCGAUAGUAGAAUUCGUCCCCGACUUCAACCCCAGGAACGUUUCCUAAUACUGCUUCACCAGAGUUAACAUACUCGUUGCACCUUUUGAGGACCGCGGCUGCCUCUAGAUCGAUCCUGCCAAUCUUGCCCGAUUCCUUUGUUGACUUGGCUUCUUCGCCUUUCAACAACUUUUCUACAAACCAAUUGAAACAAUCAGAGGAUUCUCCUGACCUUGGUACGAUCAUCAAUGAGCUUUUUGUCACUUCCCUUGCGAUUCCAUUCAAUAGGAACGCACGAGGUGAUGUUAACACUUGGUUCCCGUUUUCCUUGGUAUACGGUUAAUUCAUGUUUUCCUUGGUACAUGGUUAGUGCUUUUGCAUUCUCAUAAUCAUGUGGCAUCGCAUCCUCUUCAUCAUCUUCUUUCAAUUCAUCUAUCGGUCGAAAAACAGAUUCACCCCUUGGGGCAAGCUUCUUGUUCAAUACCCUCCCCCUCCCCUCCUUUUUUAUCUUAAUUUUUGAUGAACUGGAAGGUGAAUUUCCGAAAGAAGUCCUUCCACGGACAGUUUUUGGCAGACAUAAGAGCUUUGCACGAUUACCGUCUCACUGUAAGCAUCCAAAGAAGCAUCUCCUUCGCUCUGAUCAUCCGCGUCCUGUCUGAGCUUUCGUGGAACAGCAUCUACAGACUUGACGAAAUCGAUCCUAUCCUUCUUAACAAUUUUUUCAAUUGACAACGCUUCAAUUGAUUUCUCUGCCGUUUUUUGACUAAUCACUAGAGAUCUUUCACCACCAUUCGGACUCUUGUUUCUAACCUUUUCAAGAGAAGCAACUUUUGCUCCAAAUUUCCUCUCACCAUCCAUACUCUCACCCUUCAGUUUCUCAAUAGAAACAGCUUUAACCAACACAUGCGAACUGGUAUUUAUAUCUGCCUCUAGCAUCUUACUAUUAUCCAAGUUAGUUUUGUCUUUCAUAGCUUCCGACGAAAAAUAUCGAAGAUCAAGUUCUUUGCCAGCUGAUUUCCGACCGGUUUCGGAUUUGUCGCCACCAUCAAGAGAACUCUUACUUUCUGGCUUUUCAACCAAAACAAUUUGCCCGGAAACUUCUGAGGCUGCUUGCUUAUUUCCUUCCGAUUUUUCUCACCAUUCAAGUUCUUAUUCGGAUCAGCAGCUUUCGGGCACUUCUCUUUGCUCGUACGAGUGUUGUUCCUCCCAAACGGCCACACCCGACUAGAAAGCGCCGAAUUGCCAAUACCGCUCUUCUUUUAGGAGGAUAAAUCUUCGACAUCAGCCACCGCUUCUCGCCACCGAAGCCAUUUAGUUGGCACUCCAAAUUUUCAAAAUUUCUAGCUUGAUCAGAAGAGCUAUCUAUUCUGUUUUCCACCAAACCCUUCGCAGCCUGCUCGGAACUACCAUCAACUCUUUUCCUCCGGUGGCUUGAUUUCAACUCCAAGUAGAGUUUCUAAACCCUUAAUUUUCUCCUCCAAAGAACCAUUUGAUUCGUGCCUUUGCUUUAAGGGUGCGUUUGGUUCGCACUAUGAAAGAUUACUAAAAAUAAAAAGAUAUUCGAAAAUUUUAUUUCUAUUCAUUCUAUUACUAAAAAUGUAGUAUUUCGGUGUUUGGUUCAUACGGUCAUAUUAUUUAGUCAUGUUAUUUAAGAUUAUAAAAAAUAUACAAUUUAUUUAUUUAUUUUUUUUUAAAUAAUACUAUAAAAAAUUUUAAUAUUUUUUUGAAAAAAAAAGAGAAUGAGAGGGUUAAGAUUUUAGAAAAAAGAGGAAAAGAAAUAAUUAGUUUAGAGAAAGAUAUGAAGUUAGAGUGUAAAAAAAAAUAAUACCUAAAAAAAAAUAAUACCAAUUAGCCGGUGGAUGGAAAAAAAAAAAGAGAAUAUCCGAAAGAAAGAAAGAGUGGAUGGGAAGAAAGAAAGAAAAUAUUCGGAAGAAAGAAAGAAAAUAGAUAUAUUGUAAUUAUCCCAAUCCAUUGAUAUAAGGAUACCUACCAUCCCUCAAAGGAAUGAGAUUAGUAUUUUGAAAUGCAUUUCAUUCCUAAGUAAAUCUAAUAUUACCAACUGAAUUUUCAAACACCGUCAUACAUUUUUAUUCCUAUUGAAAUCUUACCCCCGCCAUUUAUUCCGAAGUUCCUGCUGCCGCUUCUCUCGAUGAAACCCUAACCUUAACAAACUCCACGACCGGCGGGAGAACAGGGCCAACGGAAGCACGAAUCGCCCCGUCGGGAUCCAAACGUGGAUCCGGAGUCACCGCAAUCGGCUUCAGAUCGGCCGUCGCAGGGAAUCGGCCGCAGCCCUUGGGCCAAGGGCGCGCGACGGAGAGCUUCCGCGGCUUGAGCUUGAGCGCGGGAGCCGCCAUGAUCGGAGCAGGGGCCUCGAUCAUAGGGAGCGACCUUGGAACACAAUCACGCUCCGCGGAGGAGCUCAAAUCGAAUCGGAAGGAGGGCCAAAUGAAACCCUAGCUACGACAUGCGAGGGAGCGGUAGAGGGGGGGAGAGAGAGGUGUGAUACAUACAUUGAACUAGGGUUCGAGGGGGAGCUCGAGAGAGAUCGAGAGACCACCUCACCUCGAUAAUGGUGGAGGAGGAGGAGGAGGAGAACGGCGGUGCCGCGCCGGAGAAGGAGGAGGCGGAGGGGGGAGAGAGAGAGAGAGAGAGAGAGAGAGAGUGGCGUUGAAUGCCAAAAAUGGAAAGUGGAAAAACGAAAAGUGAAAAAAUGAGAAAAAAAC